CAGUGUUCUUGCCUGGAGAAUCCCAGGGACAGGGGAGCCUCGUGGGCUGCUGUCUAUUGGUCGCACAGAGUCGGACACGACUGAAGCGAUUUAGCAGCAGCAGCAGCAGCAUUUCUCAACUGGCUGUGUAAGAAUAAGAUAAGAGGUGAAUUCAGCUGUUGAAGAGAAGAAAAUCAUAGUGGAACACGGAACACAUAAGUAAGAUGAGAGGAGAGGAUCCAAUGAAGAUAUGAAGGACACCCAGAGGCUGGGAGCCACGAGAUGGCAAACAAAGCCUACAUAAGUAGCCUCCAUACAUAGCCUACAAAGCCCCUACAACCCCUACGGAGGAAAGAGGAUCUUCCCGACCCAGGGAUCAAACCCUAUCUCCUGGCAGAUGGACUCUUUAUCACUGAGCCACCUGGAAAGCCUUAAUUGAAAACUCUAUGUCAAAGUUAAACUUACAAAAAGGAAGUAUCAACCUCAGUUUAGCAAUUCCAACAUUAGGGACAGAAUG